rnacentral:misc_RNA from 1 species
UAGGCUUGACAUACACGGGAAACUUGCCAGAAACGGCGAGCCCUCUUCGGAGCCCGUGCACAGGUGCUGCAUGGCUGUCGUCAGCUCGUGUCGUGAGAUGUUGGGUUAAGUCCCGCAACGAGCGCAACCCCCGCACCCAGUUGCCAGCGCGUCAUGGCGGGGACUCUGGGUGGACUGCCGGUGCUAAACCGGAGGAAGGUGGGGAUGACGUUACGGUCUUACU